rnacentral:rRNA from 1 species
UACGUAGGGUGCGGAGCGUUGUCCGGAUUUUAUUGGGCGUAAAGGGCUCGUAAGGCGGCGUGUCGCGUCGGGAGUGAAAGCCCGUUGCUUAACGGCGGGUUGGCUUUUCGGUACGGGCAUGCUGGAGUGCGGCAGGGGAGACUGGAAUUCCUGGUGUAGCGGUGGAAAUGCGCAGAUAUCAGGAGGAACACCGGUGGCGAAGGCGGGUCUCUGGGCCGUAACUGACGCUGAGGAGCGAAAGCGUGGGGAGCGAACAGG